CUCCAAGGCUAAAUACUCCUGACUGACCGAUAGUGAACCAGUACCGUGAGGGAAAGGCGAAAAGAACCCCGGCGAGGGGAGUGAAAAAGAACCUGAAACCGUGUACGUACAAGCAGUGGGAGCACGCUUAGGCGUGUGACUGCGUACCUUUUGUAUAAUGGGUCAGCGACUUAUAUUCUGUAGCAAGGUUAACCGAAUAGGGGAGCCGAAGGGAAACCGAGUCUUAACUGGGCGUUAAGUUGCAGGGUAUAGACCCGAAACCCGGUGAUCUAGCCAUGGGCAGGUUGAAGGUUGGGUAACACUAACUGGAGGACCGAACCGACUAAUGUUGAAAAAUUAGCGGAUGACUUGUGGCUGGGGGUGAAAGGCCAAUCAAACCGGGAGAUAGCUGGUUCUCCCCGAAAGCUAUUUAGGUAGCGCCUCGUGAAUUCAUCUCCGGGGGUAGAGCACUGUUUCGGCAAGGGGGUCAUCCCGACUUACCAACCCGAUGCAAACUGCGAAUACCGGAGAAUGUUAUCACGGGAGACACACGGCGGGUGCUAACGUCCGUCGUGAAGAGGGAAACAACCCAGACCGCCAGCUAAGGUCCCAAAGUCAUGGUUAAGUGGGAAACGAUGUGGGAAGGCCCAGACAGCCAGGAUGUUGGCUUAGAAGCAGCCAUCAUUUAAAGAAAGCGUAAUAGCUCACUGGUCGAGUCGGCCUGCGCGGAAGAUGUAACGGGGCUAAACCAUGCACCGAAGCUGCGGCAGCGACGCUUAUGCGUUGUUGGGUA
rnacentral:rRNA from 1 species